UGGAUUAUUUAUGUCCACUAAUGACCGUGACACGUAGUCGAUAAACAUUUAUAACGGUUAGAUGUGUAGGUUCCGCACAUUCCGAUCUUAGAUGAUCAUGGAAAGAUAAGCCGACUGCAUGUCGGUAAUAGUAGUAGGUCGGUAGUCGUAGAGAUCCGAAUGAGCAUCGGACGGUGACUCUGAUAUGCCAAUGGUCCUCAAUCGGAUAUUAAGUGAGUCAUCGUGGUUGUCCAUUG
rnacentral:lncRNA from 1 species